rnacentral:rRNA from 1 species
GACGAACGCUGGCGGCGUGCUUAACACAUGCAAGUCGAACGGAAAGGCCCUGCUUUUGUGGGGUGCUCGAGUGGCGAACGGGUGAGUAACACGUGAGUAACCUGCCCUUGACUUUGGGAUAACUUCAGGAAACUGGGGCUAAUACCGGAUAGGAGCUCCUGCUGCAUGGUGGGGGUUGGAAAGUUUCGGCGGUUGGGGAUGGACUCGCGGCUUAUCAGCUUGUUGGUGGGGUAGUGGCUUACCAAGGCUUUGACGGGUAGCCGGCCUGAGAGGGUGACCGGCCAAAUUGGGACUGGGGAACGGCCCAGACUCCUACGGGAGGCAGCAGUGGGGAAUAUUGCACAAUGGGCGGAAGCCUGAUGCAGCAACGCCGCGUGCGGGAAGACGGCCUUCGGGGUGUAAACCGCUUUCGCCUGUGACGAAGCGUGAGUGACGGUAAUGGGUAAAGAAGCACCGGCUAACUACGUG